rnacentral:rRNA from 1 species
UUAGUUUCUUAAUUGGGAAAUAGGAUGAAUGGUUUCACUAAAAUAUAGUUUUUAUCCUCAUUUGCGAAAUUUUAAUCUAAGUGGAAAUACUUAGCAGUUGUACUAGGACGAGAAGACCCUAUGAAGCUGGCAAACUAUUAAUACAUAUUCCUAUUAUUUAUUAGUUUAUUUUUUGGGGUAAAAUUUAAUAAUACUAUUAACACAAUUGUACUAAAUUACAUCCUUUAGGAAUUAUGAAGAAGCUCCUCUAGGGAUAACAGCAUUAUGCUUAAAAGAGUUCUUAUCAGAAUAAGCGUUUGUGACCUCGAUGUUGAAUUAAAUGCUCUUUUAUGUGCAGGAGCUUAGAAGAG